UCCUGGCUGGCUCAGUCGGUGGAGCAUGAGACACUUGAUCUCAGAGUUGUGAGUUCGAGCCCCACGUUGGGUG
rnacentral:tRNA from 1 species